ACACACACACACACACACACACACACGGCCCCUUCCAAGCCCAGCCAGCUCUCAGAGCAGCCCUGCUCCCAACCCCUUUCCCCUGCAGAGGACCUGAGCCAGGUCAAACCACCCAAGGUGGCUGUGUUCGAGCCAUCGGAAGCAGAGAUCUCCCGGACCCAGAAGGCCACGCUCGUGUGCCUGGCCACGGGCUUCUACCCCGACCACGUGGAGCUGAGCUGGUGGGUGAACGGGAAGGAGGUCCAGAGCGGGGUCAGCACGGACCCGCGGCCCUACAGGGAGGACCCCAGCCGCAACGACUCCACCUACUGUCUGAGCAGCCGGCUGAGGGUCUCCGCUACCUUCUGGCACAACCCCCGCAACCACUUCCGCUGCCAAGUCCACUUCCACGGGCUCACGGACCAGGACCAGGACCAGUGGAAGGAGGACUGGCCCAUGCCCGUCUCCCAGAACGUCAGUGCCGAGGCCUGGGGCCGAGCAGGUGAGCGGGUGGGUCGGGGAGGGUUCGGCAUGGACUGAGUCAGACCAGAGAAAGGCAGAGAUCCAGGCAGAAGCCCAGAAAAACGAGAUUCAGGAAUAAGGGAUGGGGGUGGGAUGACCAGAGGCCACCAUGAGGGUGCACAGGGCCCCUCGGGCUAAUUCGUCCCCCAGAUCCUCAGCCC